rnacentral:rRNA from 1 species
UACAGAGGUCUCAAGCGUUGUUCGGAUUCAUUGGGCGUAAAGGGUGCGUAGGUGGCGCCGUAAGUCAGGUGUGAAAUUUCGGAGCUUAACUCCGAAACUGCAUUUGAUACUGCGGUGCUUGAGGACUGGAGAGGAGACUGGAAUUUACGGUGUAGCAGUGAAAUGCGUAGAGAUCGUAAGGAAGACCAGUGGCGAAGGCGGGUCUCUGGACAGUUCCUGACACUGAGGCACGAAGGCCAGGGGAGCAAACGG